UACAGCCUCGUACGGACGUACGAAGAAAUUUUCAUCUCGUGUGACGCGAGAAAGAGAGGGAGAGAGAGAGAGAGAGAGAGAGAGAGAGAGAGCGACACUUUUUGGCGCGAGAUCGAGAUAAAGAAAUACGCGAAAAUCGACAGGUAGAAGAAGAAGAAGAAGUCGAGAUCGAAGGAUCAUCUCGACGGUGGAUCCAGAGAAGAUAGAUCACAACGCACCGACGGCAACGUCAACGACUAUUUUUUCGGCGGUAACCAGCGAUAAGUAUAAUAACGAAGCUGGCACUCUCCAAUAUGUCCCUGUUCGCGUGUUGUACACGUCCGAGUCACCGACGAGUCGAGGAAACUCGUCAGCAAGCUUUGACGAGAGAACCACCAGAAAUCUCAUGGGAAAACACAUUAGGUGCACCCAAUGGUGUACCUUUCGAUGACGACACGAAGGAUCUCCUUAAGAAUUGCCUCGACGUUUCGAUUCCACCUCAGACUACCAUAACGGAUAUCAUCAAGCGUAGCUCAAGCUUUCCUAUCAAUUUCCCAAUAAACACCGUUAGAUGUUCAACAUUGAGAGAUAGAGGUGUCAGUUCUGAUAUAUUGGAGUUAAACGCUAAUUCGGCGUAUCCAUUGAUCCAUGAGGCCAUGCUACCACUCAUAGCACGAUGGUUAAAGCACAAACGUCAAUAUGGUAGUGCGAUCGAGAGAGCCCUUUAUAAAGAAAUGGGUCUUAUAGAGUUUAUUCAACGACUUCUCGAAAAAAGGGCCGUCAAUUUCUUUGGCUCGGACGAUCGAUACAAGCUGAUCGAUGGAAAAACCGGUGUUGAUGGUUGGGAGAGCGUAGGAACGGAUUAUGAGAAAGAGCCGCUGGUUCUGACGAAGUGCCUGUCGUACGACGAAAUCAAAUUGUCGUCAAUGAUCGUAGUUUCAUCUCACACGGAAUUCAUCAACGACGGUUCUCGAGAAAAUAGGGGCGUAGUAACAAGUGAUCCAGACUCCGUCCAGCCCAGAGGCGUUAUUAUGGGUGUCGUGGGAGCAAGAUUCGAAAAACCACGAGUUAUGGAAUAUCAGGAUAUACUUAUAACUCCUUUACAAAAUAAUAUGGAUAAUGGAUACGGUCCAAACGUCGAAGGUAUGACACAAGAAAAACGUGGGCUUAGAAUAAUAUGGGCGAAUUUUUAUGGAGAAAUCUAUCAUCCGCUUUACGAGGAAACGGUAAAGCGUAUUAAAUCUAAAGACAAUAAAAGAUAUCUAUCGCUUACGAGUCAGACGGUUUUCGACAUUGAAAAUUAUAUGAAAAGAACUCUUUUAUCUGUUGAAAUAAUACUUCUCGAAGCGAAUACUAGAGCCGAAAAACAAAAUACCACUGCUUUCCUUCACGUUGUUGGAUUCGGUCUUGGAGCAUGGAAGAUAAUACAGGAUCAAGAAAUAUAUUUCUUAAAGACCUUUGAGAUAGCAAUUAGAAAGAUGAACAAGAAAUUGAAAUACGUAUCAGACGUGAUGUUCGCUUACUUUAGACAACAGAAAUGUGGGAAUACAGGAAACGGCGAUUAUCUUGGAGAUAUCAAGAUCCAUUUUGCUCUGAGAGAACCCCAUAGUAAAUUAUUGAGAUCGACGGAUGCAAGCAAGUUACUGAUCGUAACUUAUGCUUGGGACGGAAACGCUCAACCAGUCGACUUACAGGGAACGAAUUUUGGAGCGGUUAUCUUGCAUCGAGUGGAGAUCCAGCAGCAGCAUGCAGCAGUCAAAUAGCAGAAUUGCAUAAUUCUUGGAUAAAUCCAAGAACUUGCGGCGCUAGUUUACACGUCGCAUCUGCCGAACACGGAAUUUUGCACAUAUCCGACUACGCGAGACUUCAUCUUACUUAGGAAAGGGCCGGCCCAACGGGCAGCGGUCAACGAAGACCAUCUCGAUCACCGCGCAGUCAGAGAAGUCGAAGUGCCGAUGUUGAUUGC